AUGCCCCUUGCCCGCUUCUCCCCGUGCGCCCACCCUUCACCCCUUCUCCGGAGCCCAGCACCGCAGACCCCGCCCCCCACUCCCCAGACCCUCCUCCGCCACGAGCUCCGCCCCGGCCCCUUUCCCCACCGCGCUCGGACCCCGGCCCGGGCGCGCCCCUCCCCCGCGCGGCCCCCGCCCAGCCCGCCCGGGGCGCCGCUCACCUCGUGCCCGCCGCCCGCUCGCUCCUCGCUCCGUAGCCGGGUGCCGGCGCCCGCGGGAGCCGCCUGCUGGGGUGUGGGGGGUGCCCACGCCCCCGCGAUGCCCCCGCCGCCGCCGCCGCCGCCGCCGCCGCCGCAACAGUUGUCCGGGUUCUGGGGGCUGCGGGGCUGCGGGAACGCGGGGACUCCAGGCUCCCGGAUCGGAAGGCGCCCGCUCCUAGGCGCGCCGGACGCGGCGCGGAUCUGGGGCUGGGGCCCAGGCUGUGGCCGGGGCUGGGGCUGGGGCUCUGGCUCCGCGUCUGGCUCGGGGUCCGGCGGCCGGCCGCCUGCCCCGCCGCCGCCCGCGGCUACUCGGCGGCCCGCGCCGCCCGGCCGCCCGCCGGCCCCGAGCCCCGCGCCGCGCCCGCCACCGCCGCCACCGCCGCUGCCGCGCUCAUGCUCGCCGGGCCCCGCGCUCGCCGCCGCCGCCGCCGCCGCUGCCCACUUCACUCUUUGGCGCUCGCUCCGCGCCGCGCCCUCUGCUGCCCCCUCGCCCGGGCUCGCCGAGCUCCUGCCGCCCUGCCCGCCGCGCUCCCCCUCGCCCGCGCCCGCCGCGUCCUGCGCUCUCCUCUCUCCCUUUCUCACUCCUCCCUUCCCCUCUCUCUCUCUCUCUCUGAGUCCUCCUCUCAUUCUUUCUUCCGCGGUCUCUUUUCUCCCCCUCUGGCUCUUUCUCUCCCUCCUGCUGUUCGCGGUGGCUUCUCACUUUCUUUUAACUUCCUUUCCGUCCUCGUUCUUUCACGCCUUCCUCGUUCUUUUCCUUCCUUCUACUUGUCCCUUCCCUCUUCCGCUUCCCUGCCCCGUUUCCUUCCUCCCUCCUUCCUUCCUCUCCGUUCUUCCUCUCUCCUUUGUUCAUUCCGCCUCCUUCCCUCCUUCCUUCCCACUCCCUUUUCCUCUCCUCUCCCCACCCCGUCUCCAUCCUUCCACCCCCUUCCAUGGCACACACACCUGCUCUGUUUGGGGGCCAAAUUAUUCCCGCCAGCCCGGCCCUGGGCAGAGGGAUCAGGGGCAGGGGCAGCUUGGGCCAAGGACCAAUCACACGAGACAAGCUCCUCUGCCCGAGUUUCCUGUAGGAAAGACCCUCUUCCCGACCCUCCUGGGCCACUGCGUGGGGUCUCCUCCCUGGCUCCUGCUCCCCUCUCCACCCGGCUGCCCCCCAGCUCCAGCCUGA
rnacentral:lncRNA from 1 species